UACGAAGGGGACUAGCGUUGUUCGGAAUCACUGGGCGUAAAGCGCACGUAGGCGGAUUUGUAAGUCAGGGGUGAAAUCCCGGGGCUCAACCUCGGAACUGCCUUUGAUACUGCGAAUCUUGAGUCCGAUAGAGGUGGGUGGAAUUCCUAGUGUAGAGGUGAAAUUCGUAGAUAUUAGGAAGAACACCAGUGGCGAAGGCGGCCCACUGGAUCGGUACUGACGCUGAGACGCGAAGGCGUGGGGAGCGAACGGG
rnacentral:rRNA from 1 species